CGCACUACUGGAAAGCUCUUGAAUGCUGUGAUAGAGCCAAAUGCAUCCCUAAUCCUGGGGGAAAGCUGGCUUUCUGCGAGCUGAAAGUGUUCAGCGCAGCCAGCUGCUGCCCAGUGAAGUGCAUUUGAAUCCCAGCCGUAAUCUGUGCGCAGUGGACACGGAUGAUUUAUCCCAGUGGGCUGGUUUCCUGCUCUGCAGCAGGAGCAGGGAGCUGAGCCCUUCCUCCUGCUCCUGGCUGGAGUGCUGUUGGUCUGAGAGCACCGAGCAGGAGGGCACACGGGACAGUGGCUGCAGGUGCCUCCACUGAGGUACCAGGAGCAAAGCAAGCGCAGGGUUCGAGCUGGGUGCUGCUUGGCUUUCUCAUUGUCAGUGCCUUUUUGUUUUCCAGGUGUUUCUGUGACCUCAAGUAACACAGGUGUGCCUGAUAUCAGUGGCUCAGUCUAUAACAAGACUCAGACGUUUGACAAGCAGGGAUUCCACGCUGGCACACCGCCUCCUUUCAGCCUGCCCUCUGCUCUUGGAUCUACUGGGCCCCUGAACCCUGGUGCUGCCCCGGGUUAUGCUCCAGCCCCUUUUCUCCACAUCCUGCCUGCACAUCAGCAGCCUCAUUCCCAGAUGCUGCAUCACCAUCUUCAGCAAGAUGGGCAGGGUGGAUCUGGUCAGCGCAACCAGCCCAGCACCAUGCAGCAAAAGUCUCAGGCUACCAAAACCGCCUAUGGCACUUCUCCAUACUGGACAAACUAAAUCUGAAACCGGGGAGGGGGGAGAGAAUGAAAGGAGAGGA